rnacentral:rRNA from 1 species
CCUACGGGUGGCAGCAGUGGGGAAUAUUGGACAAUGGGGGCAACCCUGAUCCAGCCAUGCUGCGUGUGUGAAGAAGGCCCUCGGGUUGUAAAGCACUUUCAGUGAGGAAGAACGCCUGGUGGUUAAUACCCAUCAGGAAAGACAUCACUCACAGAAGAAGCACCGGCUAACUCCGUGCCAGCAGCCGCGGUAAUACGGAGGGUGCGAGCGUUAAUCGGAAUUACUGGGCGUAAAGCGCGCGUAGGUGGCUUGAUAAGCCGGUUGUGAAAGCCCCGGGCUCAACCUGGGAACGGCAUCCGGAACUGUCAAGCUAGAGUGCAGGAGAGGAAGGUAGAAUUCCCGGUGUAGCGGUGAAAUGCGUAGAGAUCGGGAGGAAUACCAGUGGCGAAGGCGGCCUUCUGGACUGACACUGACACUGAGGUGCGAAAGCGUGGGUAGCAAACAGGAUUAGAUACCCUAGUAGUC